rnacentral:lncRNA from 1 species
CUCCAGAAGCUGGAAGAUUAAAGAAACAGAUUCUCCUUUCUCUAGAGCCUCCAGAAGGAUGGCAGCCCUGCCACCACCUUGAUCUUAGCUCAGUGGGAUCCAUUUCAGACAUCCAGCCUCCAGAGCUGUGAGAUGAUAAACUGGUGCUGUUUAUGGAUGCUUAGAAGAAGGAUAAAGAUCACUUUCAGAAGAGAGAAAAAGGAGUACACCAAAAAUUACCACCCAAGGUGUCGAUGUUAGUGAAGAAACGUUCUCUGUGUUCGGUGGAAGGCUAUCUUCCUUCUGUUUCACUAGUCAGAGACUGCCUGCAUGCUUAGAGCACACGUUGGAGCUUGGAAUGAGGGUCUUGUGCUGCGGACAAAGCAAAUCACCGAAGAGAAUCUUACCUUGGGCAGAAUGGCUGUG